ACGCCGCGUGUGGGAAGAAGGCCUUCGGGUUGUAAACCACUGUCGGGAGUUAGGAAAUGCAGGUGCGUUAAUAGCGCACUUGCUUGACUAAGGCUCCAGAGGAAGCCACGGCUAACUCUGUGCCAGCAGCCGCGGUAAUACAGAGGCGGCAAGCGUUGUUCGGAAUUAUUGGGCGUAAAGAGCACGUAGGCGGCCUUGCAAGUCAGUUGUGAAAGCCUUCCGCUUAACGGAAGAACGGCAUCUGAUACUACAGGGCUUGAGUACGGGAGGGGAGAGUGGAACUUCUGGUGGAGCGGUGAAAUGCGUAGAUAUCAGAAGGAACGCCGGCGGCGAAAGCGACUCUCUGGUCCGAAACUGACGCUGAGUGUGCGAAAGCUAGGGGAGCAAACGGGAUUAGAUACCCCGGUAGUCCUAGCCGUAAACGAUGGGCACUAAGUAGAGGGGUU
rnacentral:rRNA from 1 species